GUUUAGGGGGAAGGGAGAAGGGAGAAGGGAGACGGCAAGGAGGUAAUUUGUUGGUAAUUUCUUUCAGAUUUAGGGUUUUCAUUUAUCUAAGAAGCCCCCAUCACUAUAUUGCAAAGUUCUCUAAAUACUGCCACACUUGUCUACAAAGUACAAAAGCGUAAGUAGGGCAUGGCAAAGCGGAAGAGGGAAGACAAUUCUACAAGUACAAUGGAGUUGAACUUACUGAACAACAACAAAAAACAAGUUCACGAUCAUCAGCCGAAUACGAUGAAGUCCCGCCCAAUAAUAUUCAUUCUGCGAGACGCUUCUCUCACAAAGGGUUUCGUCCAUAAGAGGUGGAAGAUUCUGGAUUCGGAUGACGACCGUGAUUUUCUUCUCAAGCAGAACAAGAAUCUGGAUGAUUUUAGGCCUGCAAUAGUUUACCAGGCUCUCCGUGAGAUAUUGGAUAGCAAACUGAAUAAAGCUGGUAUGGUACGAGCUGUGUAAUUGAAAACUGAUGAAGGAGUGUUAUUUGAAAUUAAAUCGCACGUUCGUAUACCAAGAACCUGUAAACGCUUUUGUGGAGUUAUGUUGGAGUUACUAAACGAGAAAUGCAUACGGACGGAAGAUACAAAUGAAGUACUUAUGCGUGUCAUUGAGGAACCUGUAACUCGACGUUUACCUAUCAACUCUCGUGUGGUAGGUCUCUCUUAUAGUGCAGAGAAGGUGGUUGACAUAGAUAAGUACGUUAAUUCUGCCGGUGUUGAUGAUCAGGGUCUUGUUUUUGUGGUGGGUGCAAUGGCCCAUGGAAAAAUCAAUGAGGAGUACGCAGAUGAUUUCAUAUCAGUGUCGAAUUAUCGAUUGGAAGCGAAAAACUGCAUAGCAUUGAUUUGCGAGGCGUUGGAGUAUAAAUGGAAGAUCUGAGUCUAUAUUUUAAUAAAUGGUUACCUUGCAAGCUAAAGCAAUUUGGUAGAGAGGAAAGUGCAAAUUGAUCCCGAUGUCGUCAAACAGUACUAGUCACCCACAGAAGAAAACCAGGCAGAUAUGCAAGAAACUCAAAAGGAUAGGCAACUGGAAAUGGUUGGAUGGUUUGUACCUCCUAGUCUUAUGUUUGAACCACCCUCUCUUAAGUUAAAGUGGUUUAGAAUAUCACUGUAAAUCCUAUUUUAUGUACGUUUUUAUUUUACAACUUUGCAUGUCUUUUCAACUCUUCAUUCUUGGCAAGUCACAUAUUAGUAUAUGGCUUUUUAGAUAAAAUGGUCCCUGAGAUUUGCAUAACUCCUUAUGUUUUUAAUCUCUAGCAGCCACAUUCAUUAUUUGCGAAUUCAAGAAAAUUUUCUUUUGCUAUAUUUUUCUUCGUGUAUAAUCAUUUAUGAAAUUUAAACUCAUAUUCUCCUUCAACAUAGUAAAGACUGAGUUUUUUUUUUUUACUUAGACAUGAUAUAGAUAAUGAAAGACUAGGUAGAUGCAUAAGAGAGAGUAACAAAAAUUGUUUUAUUCUCAUUCGUUUAUUAUAGAUUGGCCCAGUUGGUUUAAUUCUAAAAAUCUCCUUUCAGUUUCAAAGCAAAUAUUAAGCGUAGCUGUAUAUCAUUUGCCAUAUGCAAAAGAGUUGUAGCUUAGAUAGCACUGAUGCAAUAGACUAGUGCUCGUGAUAAUAUGAUGACCAUAGCUCAAUAUCUAUUUCUUUUGACCCAUUCACAUAUACAAGAGAAUUUUUCGUGAUUAUAUGAUCAAAAUUUGCCGACUCAGACUUUAAUUAAUUUACAUAUUUUACAUUAAUACAUUGUUUUUAUAAUAUAACAUGUAAUGAUUUGUUAAAAUUAGGAAUGCAGAUUUUCCUCCUAUAUUCAGUCUUAAAUAAUUAGAUCAAUUUUCCAUGUUUGAUUUGAUUCACAUUUGGUUCAGUUAGACUUUAAUUGGUACCAUCCCUCAUUCAAAACUGUGUAGAUACAGAAUGAAUCUGAUAUGGACAACACGCCAACCCAGCAGGUAAGUUAGGUGACCCAUCUCAUUUCAAAGUUUCUAAGCCAGCUUUCCCACUACUAUUGUCCAUUGCAGAGACCACAAGCAGUUCCAGUUUCCCUUUCAUCUGGAUUUUAAGCUAAAAUUUAGGGAGUUGAUUUUCGCACUCCUUUUAAUUUCUUUCUAUGCAUUUUUUGAGGGGUUUUUAUUUUUUAUUUUUUAUUUUUUAUCUUUCUAGCUUUUAGAUUGAAUAAAUUGAAAAAGAAUUAAGGACAAAAAAUAAAAUAAAAAGUGCAGAAGAAGAAAAGGAGAUUGUGAAAAUACAAUUAACAUUACUUACGAUACAGCUACAUAUCCAUAAUAGUAUGUUAUGUAAAUAAAGGCAGCACAAGUGCAUAUAAUAAUCCACUGUAGUACUCAUGUUGUUAAACAAACAUAACAUUAUCAUACAACCAGCUCAUCAUCACCUCUCAUUUCCUACCAAAUCUCAUAAUAAACCCCACAAGAAAAGCAAAACAUUCACCUAAUGAAUGGUAAACUCAACCACCAUGACUCAUUCAUUUGUUUGCUUAUCAAGUUACAACUUAUACUAUGUUAUAUUGAAUCCAAUUCCUAACUUCUCAUUCAUUUCUUUGCUGAUAUUUAUAUAAUAAAAAAGUAUGUGAUCUCCAUGAAGUAAGUUCAUUACCAGAAAAAAUUAAGAAUUAGAUUGAUUAGAAGAAAGCGAGCUGAUCCCAUACAAGUUGGCUCUCUCUCUCUCUCUCCAACUUUUAACUUUAUUGAUUCAUGACUUUAUUGAUUCAAGUAAGUAAACAACUAAACAUGCUUUAACGAAUUUAAUUAGUAAAAUGGAAGUGAAAAAAACAUAUAAAAAAGGCAAAACAAUAGUUAAGAUUCUUUAGAAGACAGCAAAUGUAGGGGGACCCUGAGGCAAAGUGACAGUUGUGUGGCAACAAUGCCAAAGCCACUCUGUCAAGUGUCAACUUCAUCAACCCCCCUAACGUUCACUUUGGGGAAUUUUGGCAGUUCAGCAGCCUUUGAAAAUUGAAAAAUUGAAUAUCUCUCUCUCUCUAGUCUCUCUCUUUCUCUCUCCUCUCUCUGAGGGUGUAUAUAUAGCCUACAACCCACACCAUUGUCCUUACACUUCCUCUACUGCAAUAUAAGCAAUCAAGUUUCUUUCUUUCUUUCUCCCUUUCAUUUUUCUAAAGUCCAAAUUAUUUACUUAGAAAUCAAGAAAUGGAGGCAAUGAAGAUGAAUCUUUUUGUUGCUUUGUUGGUGGUUAUGAUGGUGGCCUUCUCAGGCAUUCAACAAGUAGCUGCAGCUGACGCUCCAGCUCCAAGCCCAACAUCUGAUGCCUUCACAUUUGCCCCCACUUUCUUUGCUUCUCUAGCAGCUUUGGCUUUUGGCUUCUUCUUCUAAGCAUGAUUUUUAAAUUUCAGGUUUUAAUUUAAUUAUUUAUUGUUGAUGGAAUUGUAUGGGUGUGGUUGAUCUUUUUGUUGGUGGAUUUGUAUUAUAUGAUGUAUAAUUAUUUUUAGUGAGAAUGUGAGGAUGGUUCAAUUUUAGGCCAAUAAAGGGAUCAUGGGUUGACAUUUGAUGUCCUUGUAUUUUCUCUAUGAUUGUAUCAGUGAUUCAUUUGUACUAAAAAAAUUCAUUCUUCUA